rnacentral:sRNA from 1 species
CUCAAAGUGUGAUGGAAAGACUUAUAGAAGCUUGAUUGGGAGCUUAUUAUAUUUAACCAUCACAAGGCUGACAUUGUG